CCCCACACUAGCCCUGCAAGAGCUGAAUUAGGCCAGGUAGACCCAAUUGGCUAAUUAGGCAGCAAGCAGGGGAGGUUUACAGGUUGGCUGCAGAGGCACACAUGUGGAGCUGCUGCAGAAGGUGGAGGCAUUCGCAGGGGUGGGCAUCUGCACAGGAGCAGAGGCAUUCCACAUUCUCAAGCACAUAACAAUACUAGAGGUUUCAGAAUGGCAACGGGAGAUUUUUAUUCCAAGCUGCCAAUGCCAAGCCAGCCGUAUAUGUCUCAGAGGUUUUUAAACGUAUGAUGACAGAACAGCACAUUUACUACAAGUGGAGUGGGCUGGUGACCUACAGAGGAGAGGCUGGGAAGUUUGCCCUUCCCUGGAAUUUGGCUGUCUAUCUGGAGUUCCUACUAUAGGAAAAGUCUGUGGUGGACUCGCUGCAGGGAGCUCACAGCAUGGAACAGAGGUGCCGAAGGCUCCGAGGUUGGUCCCAGGAGAUGGUGAAGCCAAGAAGGUUUAUCUUAGUGAGUGUGUGCCAUGAGGGGUUGUCACACUGAAGAGGGUCCUGCCUGGGGUUGAUUCAGAGCUAUUUGUGAGCACCAAGCCUGCAGUAGCCUCUACCAAAUGCUGUGAAAAAGGGGGAAAU